AUUGAACGCUGGCGGCAGGCCUAACACAUGCAAGUCGAGCGAGCGGCGGACGGGUGAGUAAUGUCUGGGAAACUGCCUGAUGGAGGGGGAUAACUACUGGAAACGGUAGCUAAUACCGCAUACCAUCAGAUGUGCCCAGAUGGGAUAAGCUCGUAGGUGGGGUAAUGGCGCACCUAGGCGACGAUCCCUAGCUGGUCUGAGAGGAUGACCAGCCAAACUGGAACUGAGACACGUUCCGGACUCCUACGGGAGGCAGCAGUGGGGAAUAUUGCACAAGGGGCUCAAGCCUGAUGCAGCCAUGCCGGGUGUGUGAAGAGGGCCUUCGGGUUGUAAAGCACUUUCAGCGGGGAGGCGUUACCCGCAGAAGAAGCACCGGCUAACUCCGUGCCAGCAGCCGCGGUAAUAC
rnacentral:rRNA from 1 species